AGGGAAUAUUGCACAAUGGGCGAAAGCCUGAUGCAGCAACACCGCGUGAGGGACGACGGCCUUCGGGUUGUAAACCUCUUUUAGUAGGGAAGAAGCCGCAAGGUGACGGUACCUGCAGAAAAAGCACCGGCUAACCACGUGCCAGCAGCCGCGGUAAUACGUAGGGUGCAAGCGUUGUCCGGAAUUAUUGGGCGUAAAGAGCUCGUAGGCGGUUUGUCACGUCUGCUGUGAAAACUGGAGGCUCAACCUCCAGCCUGCAGUGGGUACGGGCAGACUAGAGUGCGGUAGGGGAGAUUGGAAUUCCUGGUGUAGCGGUGGAAUGCGCAGAUAUCAGGAGGAACACCAAUGGCGAAGGCAGAUCUCUGGGCCGUAACUGACGCUGAGGAGCGAAAGCAUGGGGAGCGAAC
rnacentral:rRNA from 1 species